GAAGAAGAGGGGUUAAUAUGAAAAUCAGAGAGAGCUGAGGCUGUAUCAAGAAGCCAGUGCAGGUUGAGUGGAUUUUUGCACAGGGGAAGCAUCUGUAGACAAGAUGAAACAACCACUGUAUAAGCAAAGACCUGAAAGAGUUUUGUAAGGAAUAGCAGUCCAUUAUAUCAACGGAGCAAUCCUGUAAUCCUUGUGAAGAAGCAAUUAAUCUCCAGUGAUGUAAGGUAUGUCUGCAAGCCUGAUAAGGUGUUUCUGCAAGUUAGUUCCUGCUGAAAGGCCCUGUGAUUCUGUUAAAUUGUUAUUCAUUCCAAAGCAACCCAUCUGAAGAGGCAACGUGUGCUAAUGUGGGUUUGCCACUUUAUGGCUAUGACCACACAGCUGCUUUUGAUCUGCUUGGAAUAUGAUCAAACCUGCUUGCUCUAUAUUAUAUGGGUGCAUCUAUCAUGAAACAUACCUUUUGCAAAGUGCAUAUAAAAGCACUUCAGUGUAAAUUAGGCCAAACGCAUUCUUUGAGUAGGUCUGAAGUCCAUUGAGGUUAUUCCAUUGAACAACUAAGUUAAAUUUAGUUUUCUGUCUUUUUAGCAACUCAGCAGAACUCCGUGCAAGCAAAUGACAUCAUCCAAGACUCUUAGCUAAACCAAGGAUAAUAGCAUAGCUGUUCAUAUCAUUGCAAAUGCUAAUUGUAUUUUUGUGCACAAUAAUUGGAGUGAAACAUCAAAAAAAAACAAAAACAAAAACAAAAACAAAACAAAACAAAAAACUGUUAGGGCUGUGUGUUCUUGCAUUGGGGUUGUUAUUUCAGUGGGUCUGGAGAGGAUGGUGAAAACAGUGAAGCAGGCUUUAUAAACCCUGUAGGAGCAACACUAGUGCUGCCACUGAGCUUUCUAUUUUAGCACUGUUGCAACUGGUUUCUAAGUGGAAGAAAUGUAAGAGGCACAAUAAAUAUUAGAGUGGUAGGAAAGCAAAAGCAAGCAAAGACUAAAACUUGUGCAGCUGUAGGCCUGCCUCUAUACUCUAGGGGGGCAAAGGGUUGGUUCAAACAUAUCGCGGCUGUGCUUUAUGCAGGAAAAGAAGACUUGCUUUCCCAAAAUGGUGAAAGCUUAUAGUGUAAACACAGCCCAUGGUGUGUGUAUAUCCUUAUGAAGCUUUCUUUACAGUGCAGUGCCAGAACUUACUUCCUUGAUAAGCUACAGAAUGUAGUACAGAUGCAGGCCUGUAGCUGAGGUCGCAAAUUAGAGUUAAUUUGGAUAUCUCUGCACUGGGUUGGUUUGGUGACAUUUGUGUUAGUAAAUAAAAGAGGACAAGGCGUGCUCUCUGGUCAUGUGGACAAAUGUCCAUGGCAUAACUGAUGUCCAUAUGAUAAAUUGUUUUUGCCUUGCCCUUUCUGCCUGUGAGGCGUAGUCCCCAUCUCAUGUAAAACCCUCAAGCUGUGUGUCCAGUUCUAUGCGCAGGAGCACUGCUGAGCCCUGGCUGGUUUCUUGGUAUAGCCUUAGUGGCCGACUUCCUUUUUUAUCCUAUAAACUGAGUUAAAAGGAACCAAGGUAAAGCUGAAAUGUAAAUACUAAUGUAUUUACAUUUAAUGUAAAUGUAAUGUAAUUAAAUGUAAAUCUGCCUAGAUACCUGUCUAUACUGCUGCUGGUGUAGUGGUGGCUCUGUAUAGCUGAAUACCGGAGAACUGCCUACUGAAGACAUUAGCUCAUUUGGCUUCACGAACCUCUUCAUGACCUUCAAGCCAAACAUGUGGUUAAGUGUUUGGCUGGAAAGAGGCCUCUUUUAUACUGAUAAGAAAUACUGUUUUCAGGGCAAUUGGACACUCAUUCUCUCAUCUCUCCUUUAACCUUUCUUUUCUGCUGUUGCCUAUAAUAGAUGCACAGUCUCACUUCACUUUCCUACCUUAUUACCACAGUUGACAUCUCCAUCUUACCUCUCUCAAUAUAGAGAUCAACAUUGAUCUCUCAACAUCUUUCUUUAUCUUUUUUUUUUUUUUUCUUUUUUUUUAAUUUGAGCCUUUCCUAUACAUUCAAGUCCACUCUACAUCAGAUUUUUUCCUCAGACUGGCCCGUGAAAGACUUGCCAUAUCCAUCCUAGAUUUCUCUAGUUACUUUUCACAGUUGUAUGAAGUAUUUCAUGAUAAUGGCUGUUCAUUGUAUAGACUGUUUCUUCAUACUAAAUCCAGAAAGUUAAAGAGGUUGUUGUAGAAGAAAUAGAAAGAAUAGAAAUAGAUGAAAUCCUAUCUCCAAUCAGUCCUUUUUGAGGUACCUAAAAAGAGUGAAUAUUAGGAAAUUUUUAGUUUUAUUUAUUUAUUGUUAGUUAACUGUCACAUACCAGAACUUAGAGACUAUAGAAUCAGGAAACUUCAUUUAUACUGCGGUACAUGGUUGAGCUGAUCCAAAGAGCCACACUUUGUCAGAGUUUUUUUUAUUUUGUUUUGUUUUGUUUUGUUUUGUUUGUUUUCUGAUAAUUUAUAAUUUGGGCUAUUCUACUAUUUCCCACACACCUGGAUGAUGUCUGAGUAAACAUGCACUUAAAGAAAUGCAUUUCUGAUACUACUGUCUCUAAACAGAUCACCUGUAGAAUUUCUUCAAAUUUGUAUAUACUGAAAACAUAGAUAUGUUGCACAAGCUUGAGAAUGCACCUUCCAAAUUAUUCUAAAGAUGGGUAGAAAAAAACCUGGUGGUAUUCAAGAAAACACAAGACUUCACCAUAUACAAUUUAAUACUGUAUUAAACACUGAACUGAAAGGAAUUUAAUGAUUGGAAGUAGAAAAUGUCUAGUCUCUUAAUCCUAUCUGUUAAACAGAAAUGUUAUUAAAUGACACUGUAGUUACCUAAAGGAUUUAAUAUCUUUCUUAGAUGGCAAUCAGACAAUUUAAGCUAAUUAAAAAACAAAAAUGUACUGCUUUUCCUAUUUCGAAAAACAUCUAUAGAAUGUAAUGGGAGAAAGACAAGACCUUAUUUAGGUUGUAAAAUGCAAUGAAUGAUUUCUGACAUGUAGAAGAUGUUGUGCUUUCCAGUAAAAGAAGAAGUAUGGCUAAUCUUUCACUAUUUAAUGAAUUGAUUUAUUUCUUUAAAUUGUUAGAAAGUGCAUGGGCAUCAUUUCAUUACUCUGCUGUUUAAAUGAAACAUCUAGAUCCUUAGGGCAGGCUCUGUCUUCCAGUGAUAUAUACAUAUAAAGGUUGGUCCUCUGGACUUGGACUGCAAUUUCUAGGCACUGCCAUGCUGCAAAUUAUAAACAUCUAUGCGAAAAUGCUUUUUAUGCUGUUUGGCUCUGAAUCAAGAAUGAAUAAGUCACUUCUAAAGAUUCUGGCAAAUAAAUUGGAUCUCCAGUCGCCUCUUGUACACAUGUUCAGCUUCCAGUAAUCUGCUAAUUACUCUUAAAAUUAGCACUGCCUGCAGCCUGCAGGAAAAUAUGCAGUAAAUCUUCAGUCACGUGAACUUUUGAACCCAGACUUUUAAUAAAUAUAAUGAGAUGGUCACUUAAUAAAGACUUUAAUCAAAAUUUUAGAGUGCUUCAUUCUGCACUAAAAUGCAGAGAGGAUUUACAAAUAAGGAAACCAAAUUGUAUAUAAUGAAUUGGGAAUAAAAUAUGGCUGAUUAUUCCAGCUUCAAAUGGCUGGAAUAGAGCUGUGAGAGAACAUCCCUUACCAAAAAUCCUUAAAUCCCCUUAUAUUCUUCCUUGAAAAAGUUGAACUUCUAUUUCUGAAAAAACUCUUUGAAGUCUAUUAGGCGACUCCAUCUUAUUCCAAAAAUUAACUCCAAGAAAACUGCUGACAAGACAUACAAUCACUCUCUUUUUAGAAAGAAUCAAAUGUGCAUUUUCAAGAGGGAAAAAUACAGAGGAGCUUUUUCUUUCAUAAGCUGGGGGAAAUGGGAAGACUGCAAAGAAGCUUUUAUGAUGGUGUGGAGUACAGCAUUGGGGUGAAGUGGCUGAAAAGGAUAUAAGAAAUUAGUGCUGUAUGGACUGCCAUGCCACAAUCUCUGAUUUUUUUCUUGUGGUACCCUACUGGGAUGAUCCAGUUUUGAGAAGCUUUGACAUGACACUUCUGUUUGUAUUCACAUUCUUGUUGGGGUACACCUGCAUUAUGCCCUGCACCACCAUCCCCUUCCCUUUUCCCUCAUUCAAUGUUCCUCCACAGUCUGGAUCUACAGGACUACACUGUGGGGAAAGAGGCAUCUGGUGCUGAAGUUCUGCUGAUAUGGGUCUAAACCCAGCCCAGACCUUUUGUACAUGGUAGUAGAAAAUCAGGCUGAUUCCAUGGGCACUCACACUCUCAACAUUUUAGCCUUGUGUUUAUUUAGUGUUCAGUAUUUUAAAAGAAAAAACAAACAAACAAACAAACAAACAAACAAAACAACAAAAAAAAAAACACCAGGAAGCAUUUUAAAUAUCGGGAAUUCAAAAUCUUGUGCAUGGUAUCUACCAUGUUUGGAUUUUGAGCCUGUUUCAGCUGGUAGGCAUGAUUCCAAUCAAAACAAUUUGUGAGUAGAAUCAACCUUUGGCAAGGUUUCAACUAUUUGAAGAUUUAGAGAGCUGGAACUCUAUUUUUACAGCUGUUUCCAUAUGAAUUUAUGGAUUUGAAGUAAACCCCUUUUUGGUGUAUAAGCACUGUUCAAAAUGGCAUCUUUUGGAUCCCAGUUCAGAGUUUCAUCUAGUCUUGAGCAAUGCAUCUUUUUCAACUUUGUGCAAUUAGUAUGUAUAAUUUUACAGAAGCAGCAGUGUAAAAUGUAAACUGUGUCUGUGUGACCAUGGCAGUAAUCAUUUGAUCAACACUGGUCUUUUGAAAACUUUCAAGACUUUUUCUCAAGCUAUGAAUGCCUAAAGGAUUCCUACUUUUCCUUUUCUAAAAUACAGUUUAAAAAUUAUUAUGUUGGAUUUUUUCCUCUAUUCAGCCACAUAUUAGAAUUAUUUUUCAUCAGUUCUACUACUGUUCACUUUAGAAUUAAACCUGACAUUACAAACACUGAAUGUACUUUGUUAGUAGAAGUCGACCUUUUAAGCUUUCAUUUUUCAAAGUGUCUGCUUGUCAAAAAACAGAAAGAAGGUGGGGGGAUUGGGGGUGGGGACGGAUCACAUAUUGUAUAGUAACAAACAAAAAAGCAACACAAAAGAUUUUUCUUUUGAAACCUGGCAUGUACUCCAGAAUAGUUCUUGCCAUGGGAACAUUUAAUUAAUCUCAGCAGCUUCCACUUUUCCCAGUUGGGUACUGUCCUGUCACUUCUCCUGGUAAUUGCAAAUACAAAGCUGUUUUACAUACAAUAAUGGGUGAGUGAGUUGGUGUUCCUGCUCAUUUUGCUAAGCUGCAGAAGCAUAUUCUCAAGUAUAUUGCACAUUACUGGAGAGUGCAUUUACCCAAGGGAAAAUAUGCCCCAAAAUAAUUUAUGAUCAGCCCAGUUCUAGCAAAAUGCAAGGAACAUGUUGUCCUCUAUGGAGCAGUGACGCAGUUUCACUGAUAUAAAAUUAGAUGAGGCUAAGACUGGGUGCUCUGAACGGCUGCAUGAUGGACACAUGGCUUUGAGUCCUGCACUGGGUUUGUGUUUUCUUUGUGUGCAUUUAGCACAGCUGUGGGGUGAGGACCCAAGCCCAUCAUAUACACACGGGUUAGUAAUGCCAGCUUCUGCAGAUUUUUUUUCAAAAGAGGUGGGAGGUUCAUGACUUGAAUACACACAGAAUGAGCCCCAUAGGUCAUUUGAUUGUAUUGGGUAAUGGUCUGAUUUUUGUGGUGAGGGGGAGAGAAGAGAGAGAGAAAAAAAAAAAAAAGAAAGAAAAGAAGGAGAGAGAUGAAAACAAUCAUCCUCUGAUACCUUCAGACUUCAGCAGAGAAGAUGGGGCUACCUGUCACUUGUCUUUCAACUCUUUAAAACUGACCUCUCUAAUUCUUAUAUACAGUGAGGACUUAGACAAGAAAUUAAACUAUAAAGAUACAAUUACUGGGGAACAGUGUGUGUGUAUACAUAUAUAUAUAUAAUUAUAUAUACUCAUAUAUACACUACCUAUAUAAUACUUUUAUAUACAACUAUAAAAUAAAAGGCAGACUUCACUAAUAAAAGAGAAGUGUUAAAUACUUCCAGGGUUCUU